GAUGAACGCUGGCGGCGUGCCUAAUACAUGCAAGUCUAGCGAACGGACGAGAAGCUUGCUUCUCUGAUGUUAGCGGCGGACGGGUGAGUAACACGUGGAUAACUUACCUAUAAGACUGGGAUAACUUCGGGAAACCGGAGCUAAUACCGGAUAAUAUUUUGAACCGCAUGGUUCAAAAGUGAAAGACGGUCUUGCUGUCACUUAUAGAUGGAUCCGCGCUGCAUUAGCUAGUUGGUAAGGUAACGGCUUACCAAGGCAACGAUGCAUAGCCGACCUGAGAGGGUGAUCGGCCACACUGGAACUGAGACACGGUCCAGACUCCUACGGGAGGCAGCAGUAGGGAAUCUUCCGCAAAGGGCGAAAGCCUGACGGAGCAACGCCGCGUGAGUGAUGAAGGUCUUCGGAUCGUAAAACUCUGUUAUUAGGGAAGAACAUAUGUGUAAGUAACUGUGCACAUCUUGACGGUACCUAAUCAGAAAGCCACGGCUAACUACGUG
rnacentral:rRNA from 1 species